rnacentral:misc_RNA from 1 species
AAGUCGUAACAAGGUUUCCGUAGGUGAACCUGCGGAAGGAUCAUUAUUGAAUUGUUUGUUUGAAUUGGCUUAAAACCCCAAUUCAGCAAUACAUAUCCAUAACACCUGUGCACUGUUGGAUGAGCAAACUCGCAAGAGCAAGCAAGUCCACUUUUACACCAAACAAUUUGUAACAAAUGUAGUCUUAUUAUAACAAUAAUAAAACUUUCAACAACGGAUCUCUUGGUUCUC